rnacentral:rRNA from 1 species
UACGAAGGGUGCAAGCGUUACUCGGAAUUACUGGGCGUAAAGCGUGCGUAGGUGGUGAGUUAAGUCUGAUGUGAAAUCCCCGGGCUCAACCUGGGAAUGGCAUUGGAUACUGGCUCGCUAGAGUACGGUAGAGGGUGGUGGAAUUCCCGGUGUAGCAGUGAAAUGCGUAGAGAUCGGGAGGAACAUCCGUGGCGAAGGCAAUCCCCUGGGCCUGCACUGACGCUCAUGCACGAAAGCGUGGGGAGCAAACAGG